rnacentral:rRNA from 1 species
AUUGAACGCUGGCGGCAGGCCUAACACAUGCAAGUCGAGCGGAUGAAGGGAGCUUGCUCCUGGAUUCAGCGGCGGACGGGUGAGUAAUGCCUAGGAAUCUGCCUGGUAGUGGGGGAUAACGUCCGGAAACGGGCGCUAAUACCGCAUACGUCCUGAGGGAGAAAGUGGGGGAUCUUCGGACCUCACGCUAUCAGAUGAGCCUAGGUCGGAUUAGCUAGUUGGUGGGGUAAAGGCCUACCAAGGCGACGAUCCGUAACUGGUCUGAGAGGAUGAUCAGUCAAACUGGAACUGGGAAACGGGCCAGACUCCUACGGGGGGCAGCAGUGGGGAAUAUUGGAAAAGGGGGGAAAGCCUGAUCCAGCCAUGGCGGGUGGGUGAAGAAGGUCUUCGGAUUGUAAAGCACUUUAAGUUGGGAGGAAGGGCAGUAAGUUAAUACCUGGCUUUUUUGACGUUACCAAAAGAAUAAGCCCCGGCUAAAUUCGU